rnacentral:tRNA from 1 species
GGCUUCAUAGCUCAGUGAUAAAGCGUUUGCACCGGAAUCGCAAAGGUCAUGAUGGUUCCAUUCCCGUUGGAGCCU